rnacentral:tRNA from 1 species
UCCCUGGUGGCUCAGUGGUAAAGAAUCUGCCUGCCAAUGCAGAAGACACGGGUUCGAUCCCUGGUCCAGGAA